rnacentral:rRNA from 1 species
CAGGGAAACUUGUGCUAAUACCGUAUGUGUCCUUCGGGAGAAAGAUUUAUCGGGAAAGGAUGAGCCCGCGUUGGAUUAGCUAGUUGGUGGGGUAAAGGCCUACCAAGGCGACGAUCCAUAGCUGGUCUGAGAGGAUGAUCAGCCACAUUGGGACUGAGACACGGCCCAAACUCCUACGGGAGGCAGCAGUGGGGAAUAUUGGACAAUGGGCGCAAGCCUGAUCCAGCCAUGCCGCGUGAGUGAUGAAGGCCCUAGGGUUGUAAAGCUCUUUCACCGGAGAAGAUAAUGACGGUAUCCGGAGAAGAAGCCCCGGCUAACUUCGUGCCAGCAGCCGCGGUAAUACGAAGGGGGCUAGCGUUGUUCGGAAUUACUGGGCGUAAAGCGCACGUAGGCGGAUCGAUCAGUCAGGGGUGAAAUCCCAGGGCUCAACCCUGGAACUGCCUUUGAUACUGUCGAUCUGGAGUAUGGAAGAGGUGAGUGGAAUUCCGAGUGUAGAGGUGAAAUUCGUAGAUAUUCGGAGGAACACCAGUGGCGAAGGCGGCUCACUGGUCCAUACUGACGCU